AUUAAAUAGAAACAGAAACAAAUUAAUCUAAUUGAAUAUUAAGUUGAUAACAUGACCAUGGAAAUUACAGUAUGAUUGACCUGUAUCCGUGGGUUUUGCAUCAGUGCAUUCAACUAACUGAAGACUGAAAACAUUCAGGAAAAAAAAAAAUAUGAUUGUGGGGCAGGCGUGGUGGCUCAUGCCUGCAAUCCCAGCACUUUGGGAGACC
rnacentral:lncRNA from 1 species